CCCGUUUCUGGAUAUUAUUUCAGAUAAGUUGGUGGCAUAGUUUUCUUGUUCUUUUCUUAUAUUAAAAAAAUACUGAGUUAAUCACAAACUUUUUUCCUGAUAAUCAUAUUGUUCGUUAGGAUGUACUGAGUGAAAUCUGAAGAACACCAGAACAAGGCAUGAACUACAGUGUCAGAAAACAAAACCAUGGAAUGGAUCAAUCAUUUAAUCAAACUCAAACGCUUGUUAGACCUAGGAGGAACAUAAUUCCAACGCUGUGUAUACUUGAGUACUUAACCACCCAUCUAAAGGACCAAAAUAAAACGUAGUUGGACAAUUGGGUCUGCAUGCAUGACAAAAUCGAUUGAACUACUGUCAAGAC
rnacentral:lncRNA from 7 species